GACUGUUCCAGUAGUCUAUUGGUUAGAGUGUCCACCUCAGAUGCGGAAGGAUGUGGGUUUAAACCCUGGCUGAGUCA